rnacentral:rRNA from 1 species
GAUGAACGCUAGCUGGAGGCUUAAUACAUGCAAGUCGAGCGGGAUUGGGUAGCAAUACCCAUGAGAGCGGCGCACGGGUGAGUAACGCGUACACGACCUACCUCUAACAGGAGGAUAGCCCUGGGAAACUGGGAUUAAUACCGCAAAUUAUUCUGAAUAAUAAAGGUUUGGAAUGAAAGCUGAGGCGGUUAGAGAUGGGUGUGCGUCUGAUUAGCUAGUUGGUAGGGUAACGGCCUACCAAGGCGAUGAUCAGUAGGGGGCGUGAGAGCGUGGUCCCCCACACGGGUACUGAGACACGGACCCGACUCCGACGGGAGGCAGCAGUAAGGAAUAUUGGUCAAUGGGCGAAAGCCUGAACCAGCCAUCCAGCGUGCAGGAAGAAGGCCCUAUGGGUUGUAAACUGCUUUUAUCAGGGAAGAAACCUCUGGAUUUACUCCGGAGCUGACGGUACCUGAAGAAUAAGCACCGGCUAACUCCGUGCCAGCCGCCGCGGUAAAAC